rnacentral:rRNA from 1 species
AUUGAACGCUGGCGGAAUGCUUUACACAUGCAAGUCGAACGGCAGCACGGACUUCGGUCUGGUGGCGAGUGGCGAACGGGUGAGUAAUGUAUCGGAACGUGCCCAGUCGUGGGGGAUAACGUAGUGAAAAUUACGCUAAUACCGCAUACGAUCUAUGGAUGAAAGCGGGGGAUCGCAAGACCUCGCGCGAUUGGAGCGGCCGAUAUCAGGGUAGGUAGUUGGUGGGGUAAAGGCCCACCAAGCCAACGAUCUGUAGCUGGUCUGAGAGGCCGACCAGCCACACUGGAACUGAGACACGGUCCAGACUCCUACGGGAGGCAGCAGUGGGGAAUUUUGGACAAUGGGCGAAAGCCUGAUCCAGCCAUUCCGCGUGCAGGAUGAAGGCCCUCGGGUUGUAAACUGCUUUUGUACAGAACGAAAAGGUUUCUACUAGUACUAGGAGCUCAUGACGGUACUGUAAGAAUAAGCACCGGCUAACUACGUGCCAGCAGCCGCCGUAA